GUGAUGCCGCAUCGCGGACAUCCCGGACGAGUGCGUGUCGUACCCGGCCUGACAAGACGACCGCCCC
rnacentral:ncRNA from 1 species